AACGAACGCUGGCGGCGUGCCUAACACAUGCAAGUCGAACGAGAAAGUCCCGCAAGGGAUGAGUAAAGUGGCGCACGGGUGAGUAACACGUAGGUAACCUGCCUCUAAGAUCGGGAUGACCUGUCGAAAGACGAGCUAAUACCGGAUAAGACCACGGUCCCUUCGGGGACCGGGGUCAAAGGUGGCCUCUGCUUGCAAGCCAUCGCUUAGGGCUGGGCCUGCGCACCAUUAGCUAGUUGGUAGGGUAACGGACUACCAAGGCAAAGAUGGUUAGCUGGUCUGAGAGGAUGACCAGCCACACUGGAACUGAGACACGGUCCAGACUCCUACGGGAGGCAGCAGUGGGGAAUCUUGCGCAAUGGGCGAAAGCUUGACGCAGCAACGCCGCGUGGGUGAUGAAGGCCUUCGGGUCGUAAAGCCCUGUCGGAAGGAACGAAUGCUCCUGGGGUGAACAAUCUCAGGAAGUGACGGUACCUUCAAAGGAAGCACCGGCUAACUCCGUGCCAGCAGCCGCGGUAACAC
rnacentral:rRNA from 1 species